rnacentral:tRNA from 1 species
GAGAGAUGGCUGAGCGGUCUAAGGCGACGGUCUCGAAAAUCGUUGUGGGGGCAACCCCACCGAGGGUUCGAAUCCCUCUCUCUCC